GUGUUCAUAAAAAGGAGAGAUGGUUAGCACUAACUCUUACAAACAUAAAAUAGCUCUUAGGGUUUACGUGUUAUCAAACUAAUUCACGGGCUUCUUUUUUU
rnacentral:ncRNA from 1 species